ensembl:misc_RNA 7SK 7SK RNA
GGAUGUGAAGGUGACCUAGCUGUGACAUCUGUCAUCCCAUUAAUCCUUCACCACUCCUUGUGUGUCCCUCCCUAAGUUGUGCUCUUGGUCUAAGAAGAGCACCAUCCUUGAUAGAGGAGUGCCUUUCUUCAGUCAGAAGUGUAUAAGUAGCUGCAUUCCCUUGCUACAGCCUCCAAACAAGCUCUCAAAGUCCAUUUGGAGUAGAACGUAGGGUGUCAAGCUUGCAAGACUCCAGACACAUCCAAAUGAGGCACUGCACAUGGCAGUCUGCCUUUCCUU